UACGUAGGGUGCGAGCGUUGUCCGGAAUUAUUGGGCGUAAAGAGCUCGUAGGCGGUGUGUCGCGUCGGCCGUGAAAACCUGGGGCUUAACUCUGGGCGUGCGGUCGAUACGGGCGGACUAGAGUUCGGUAGGGGAGACUGGAAUUCCUGGUGUAGCGGUGAAAUGCGCAGAUAUCAGGAGGAACACCGGUGGCGAAGGCGGGUCUCUGGGCCGAUACUGACGCUGAGGAGCGAAAGCGUGGGGAGCGAACAGG
rnacentral:rRNA from 1 species